rnacentral:tRNA from 3 species
GGGUCGGUAGCUCAGUUGGUAGAGCAGUUGGCUUUUAACCAAUUGGUCGAGAGUUCGAGUCUCUCCCGACCCACCA